rnacentral:rRNA from 1 species
CCUACGGGAGGCAGCAGUGAGGAAUAUUGGUCAAUGGACGAGAGUCUGAACCAGCCAAGUAGCGUGAAGGAUGACUGCCCUAUGGGUUGUAAACUUCUUUUAUAAAGGAAUAAAACGAGGCACGUGUGCCUUUUUGCAUGUACUUUAUGAAUAAGGAUCGGCUAACUCCGUGCCAGCAGCCGCGGUAAUACGGAGGAUCCGAGCGUUAUCCGGAUUUAUUGGGUUUAAAGGGAGCGUAGAUGGGUUGUUAAGUCAGUUGUGAAAGUAUGCGGCUCAACCGUAAAAUUGCAAUUGAUACUGGCAGUCGUGAGUACAGUUGAGGUAGGCGGAAUUCGUGGUGUAGCGGUGAAAUGCUUAGAUAUCACGAAGAACCCCGAUUGCGAAGGCAGCUUACUAAACUGUGACUGACAUUGAUGCUCGAAAGUGUGGGUAUCAAACAGGAUUAGAUACCCGUGUAGUC